rnacentral:misc_RNA from 1 species
GAUGAAUAACUUAGUGAAAUGCGAUACGUAGUGUGAAUUGCAGAAUUCAGUGAAUCAUCGAAUCUUUGAACGCACAUUGCACCUCUCGGUAUUCCGGGAGGUAUGCCUGUUCGAGCGUCAUUUGUACCCUCAAGCUCUGCUUGGUGUUGGGUGUUUGUUCCGCCUCUGUGUGUGAACUCGCCUCAAAACAAUUGGCAGCCGGCGUACUUGUUUCGGAGCGCAGCACAUUUUGCGAUCCAGAUCAACGUACAGCGGCAUCCAAGAAGCCUUAUUUAACGCUCUUGACCUCGGAUCAGGUAGGGAUACCCGCUGAACUUAAGCAUAUCAAUAAGCGGAGGA